rnacentral:rRNA from 1 species
CGUGUAGGCGGCCAGGCAGGUCCGUUGUGAAAACUGGAGGCUCAACCUCCAGACGUCGAUGGAAACCGCUUGGCUAGAGUCCGGAAGAGGAGAGUGGAAUUCCUGGUGUAGCGGUGAAAUGCGCAGAUAUCAGGAAGAACACCGAUGGCGAAGGCAGCUCUCUGGGACGGUACUGACGCUGAGACGAGAAAGCGUGGGGGAGACGAACGA